rnacentral:rRNA from 1 species
AUUGAACGCUGGCGGAAUGCUUUACGCAUGCAAGUCGAACGGCAGCACGGACUUCGGUCUGGUGGCGAGUGGCGAACGGGUGAGUAAUGUAUCGGAACGUGCCCAGUCGUGGGGGAUAACGUAGUGAAAAUUACGCUAAUACCGCAUACGACCUCUGGAUGAAAGCGGGGGAUCGCAAGACCCCGCGCGAUUGGAGCGGCCGAUAUCAGAUUAAGUAGUUGGUGGGGUAAAAGCACGCCAAGCCAACGAUCUGUAUCUGGUCUGAGAGGACGACCAGCCAAAAUGGAACUGAGACACGGUCCAGACUCCUACGGGAGGCAGCAGUGGGGAAUUUUGGACAAUGGGCGAAGCCUGAUCCAGCCAUUCCGCGUGCAGGAUGAAGGCCCUCGGGUUGUAAACUGCUUUUGUACAGAACGAAAAGGUUUCUACUAAUACUAGGAGCUCAUUACGGUACUGUAAGAAUAAGCACCGGCUAACUACGUGCCAGCAGCCGCAGUAA